UUCUUAUACUGAACUGAUGUCUAUACUUUUCAAACAAAAUUUAAAAAAAACGCGGAAAUGUACUAAGUCUAAAAUUAAGGAAGCGGGAGCCAAAUUUUCACUCCCUCCCAACACUUAGUCAGAUUUCCACGACUGAUUGACUAGGUUUUCCUCUACUUUUCCCCACACCGGCCGCGAUACAGAAACACCGAGACCGACUUCCUCUUUCACCCACACCGCGACCGAUCGUCCUCUUUCCCCACACCGCGAUACAGAGACACCGCAACCGAAGUCAUCUGUCGCCCCCGUCCAGUAACCGACGACCUCUUUCGCCUUCUCUGGCUCCGAUGGCUUGAUUUCCUCCUCCUUCUCUCUCAUCUCUCUUCUGAAAUCCAGCGAAUCUCCCAAUUGCUGAGAUCGAGAAGCCGAAGCCGGAGCUGCAGUGGCUGUCUGUCCUUUCUCUUUCCACGGGCCUCCCCUUCUCAGCCCCUCUCUUCGACCGUCGAGGCGGCGACGGCCAUCGCUCUCAUCGACGGCACUUCUGAGGCAAUUACGGCUAUUAAGGAGCAAGAGAAGCAAAUUAACGAUUUUAGACAACAUUAGUGGGAUUAUAAGACCUUCAAGAUUGACGUUGUUAUUGGGUCCACCGAGCUCCGGCAAGACGACGCUACUAUUGGCUCUCGCCGGACGCCUUGGAACUGGUCUUCAGGUAGCACAACAUACAAUGGCCAUGGCUUAAACGAGUUUGUGCCGCAGAGGACGUUGGCUUAUGUCAGUCAACAGGACUGGUUUGCGGCGGAGAUGACUGUAAGGGAGACUCUUGACUUUGCAGGACGGUGUCAAGGUG